rnacentral:pre_miRNA from 1 species
UAAAAGUUAACUCUUUGUAUGGUGUGGAACGUUGGCCUAUGUUUGCCGCUAGGGGCGCUGUUCCGACUCCAUACAAAUUUGAGUUA